rnacentral:lncRNA from 1 species
ACUAUUCUAUAACUAUGAAUCUUCUCUACAUUAAACGAAAUCUCAUUAACGAAUUUUGCUAUGAAAUGAAAUGAAAUGAAAUGAAAAUGAGAAUGGAAUUAUGUACAUAUCUCGAACAAAAAAAGGGAGCGAUAAUAAGUCGAAUAAGAAAACGUUUCAUUUAGCGAAAAGGCUCUGAAAUAGUUAAUAAGAAGCAUAUAUGAGAGCGGUGUAUUAGGCAGAACAGUAAAUGUCUCUAUAGGAUCUGAUGAUGAAAUGGGGUAAUUGUGAUCAGUUAAACUAAUUGCUAGUUGGGCAUAAUGUGAACUGUUAUGCACGAAUGGCGAACGCAUUAUCCUUCGGUAUAUCAUCAUAAACAGUAUACUAUUAAUUAAAAAAAGAGCAAAAAAAAAGGCUGAACAAAAGGCAACAAAAAGAAAAAGAAAUAAAAACAAAAUUAAAAAAGAAGUGAAGAUAUGUACACCUAUACAUUUAUCUUUUUCCACAUGCAAGUAUGCAAAUCAUAGUUAAACAUUGGGUAGAAGCAAAACCGAAUGAUGUGUGUGUACGCGUGUUUGAAAACAAUAUGCACUUAAAUGAUCAUUUUUAUGUGAGUGAUGAAACAAUGGAUCGAUUCAGAUUUGGACAAAGAUGUGAACAAUUUCUUGGUGUAUGUAAUGCGUGUUACAUAAUACGUUACAUGAAUGUGGUGACUCAGUGAUAUAAGACAAAUAUCACAAUUGGUUGUUUGUGAAGUGGAUAUCUGCCAACCGCUCUCACCUGUGUGUUGGCGGAUGUGGUUAACAAGGUGUUCCUUUCUGGUGAACGAUUUGGAGCAGAAGCCGCAUCGAUGUGGAGACUCACCCGUGUGCUGGCGAACGUGGU